CAAUAGCGUAUAUUAAUGUUGUUGCAGUUCAAAAGCACGUAUAUAUUAGAACACAAACCCAUUCGACGCGGUCCUCACGGGGUGUGUUACUUGUGUUACUUUGGCCAUCCUUGGCGAGAGCGAUGUGGGCAUUAAGUUGUUCGUGCUGGGAUCGCCAUCAUUUAUUGUGAAAAAUUAGAGUGUUUAAAAAGCAGGCUUUUGCUGUGAAUACAUUAGCAUGGAAUAAUAAGAUAGGACUUUGGUGCUAUUUUGUUGGUUUGUACACCGAGGUAAUGAUUAAUAGGGACAGUUGGGGGUAUUCGUAUUUAAUUGUCAGAGGUGAAAUUCUUGGAUUUAUGAAAGACGAACUACUGCGAAAGCAUUUACCAAGGAUGUUUUCAUUAAUUUAAUCAAGAACGAAAGUUAGGGGAUCGAAGAUGAUUAGAUACCAU
rnacentral:rRNA from 1 species